CCGAGGCGCUGGCACCUGAGGCAGCCCGAGCUGGCAGGGCCGGGUCGCGGCCGCCGCGGGUUUGUUAUUGUCAACUCGGCCCUUCCGCCGCAGAGCACGCCGGGAAACAGCCGGCCGGGGGAGGGGCGCUCCGGGCGUCUGCGCAAACCCGGAAGUCGCUGACCUGCCCCGGACGGGCGCGGCUCCGCCCGCGGGCUUAGUGCGCGGCUGGCGUCUCCUCUGUCCUGCCCUGACCCGGGAAGGUAUUGCGGCCCUUCCGUGGACGGCCCCAAGGUGAGCUUGACCUUCUGGCCGCGGCGGGCCGACCCCGCCAGACCUGGAACAGCCCCAGUCGGGGAACCGGAGGCGGAAGAGUUAGCAUCUGUACAGCUCCGGGGCCCUCGUCGGCCGCCCGAGUGCCCGGACUGAGGUCGGUGACGGGGUCAGCCGACGGUCACCUGGGACACUCAUACCUUGGCCACCUGGACUGCAGGCAACUCGGAAAGUAUGCCUGGCAUCUUUGCAAGGGUAGGGCGGCACAUAAUCAGACCAGGUAAGCUGAGAGCACGUCCAGCAGAGGAGAACCGAAGCCAAGUGGACUGGACUGUAAGCGGCACGACCGUACAAUACCGAGGUGUCUCUAAUGAGUCAAUAACAUCAGUAGAGAUGAGAAUGUCAGUUUGGGAGAAAAUUGCCAUUUGUAAAGGAAUUUCUGAUAGAAGUAAAAGUUUAGGACUACCAUCUCUAAGUCAACAAUGAGUGAUUUACGACAAAAUGAGACACAAGGGGUAUAAACUGAGCCAGAUAUGCAGCCCUUCAUUUAUUGUGGUAGAGACUGGAAAACAUUGACUGAAAACUGGAGUUCAUUUCCCAGCACCCACACCAGAUAGCCCACAACUGCCUGUAACUCCAGCUCUAGCGGAAUCCAGUGCUUCUGAUGUUUACAUACUCACGUACAUACAUACUCUGGGAUCUGCUUGCCUGUGCCUCUGGAGUGCUGGUAUUAAAGCGUUGGUGCAGAGGCCAAGCUGAGCUUGUUGAAACCCCAGAGUUGGGGCUUUUGUCCUUCUGUCCUGACCGCAGUUCCAGCACUGCAGAGACUAUUGCAGGAGUAUUACACAGGCGGAGGAAUCCAAGCCAGCCAAGCUGUACAGUGCUGCUCAACCUCAAACAUGGGGGAGGGAUGCCUAGCACACAUGUGGCCACUGAACUCAAUCCACAGCAUCUUAAAAAAGCUUGUUUAAAGGAUAUUAACUUGUACAUUGUGAUUCAUGCAUGUAAUUCCAGUACUUGGGAAAGUGAGGCAGAAGGAUUUCCAGGAAUUCCAAGCCACCUGGGCUAUAAUAUAUAUUAUGUAUAUAAUAUAAAAUAAUAUGAUAUGAUAUGAUAUGAUAUGAUAUAUACAUAUAUAAUAUGAAUAUUAGGAAGUUGUACAAUAGUAGGUUUGUAUUUAAAUCCAGCUUUACCAUUUUUUAGCUGAGUAGUGUUAGGUAAACUAUUAAACAAUUUGUUUGGAUUUGGAAAAUCAAAUGUGAUCAAAACACCAUUAUAGUGAUAUUUCAUUUGUGCUGAAAUGUGAUUUUAUUUGUAUGUUAAUAAAUAAAGUUGCCUGGGGGGCAGAGCUAUUAGCAAGCCAUUUAGCAGAAGUCUGGCAGUGGUAGCACAUGCCCUUAA